rnacentral:lncRNA from 1 species
AUGGAAACGGUGUUACCUAUUUUUCAUACAAUGGCCUCCUGAGAAAAAACACAAAAAUUGCAAUUCUGACAAAUUUAAUUGACAUAAUAUAGUAUAAUAUUUACAAUACAGUGGAAUAUGCUGCUAUUUAUCUUAAACUACUGUAUUUCAAGUUUCUUAUCAUAUAAAAAACUAUUCAUAAAAAUAAUUCUGCAUAAUUCAAAACAGCACUUUAUUUAUACAAAUUUUGGCAUUUUACCAAAUCAAGAAAAUUCCCUUUGGGAGCCUUUUUUGAAUAGAUUUUUUUUACCUUUGCACACUGAUUUGAAAUUAAACUAAUGGUAAUAUACGUAGAAGAUAUAUAGUUGGAUUUAAACCCCCAAAAAAUUGUGGGAAAUUUCAAGACCUUUAUGUACAUAAAUCCUAAAAAAUGACAAAAAAUUGCAAAAUAUGCAUAUUUCCAUGGAAAUGGUAGUUCAUUUCAAAUUGCUUAACAUUGUCUCUUGGCAAAAUAUUUUACUAAACAAUCAACAAAA